rnacentral:lncRNA from 1 species
GAGGCGGCUAGACAUAGGGCAUGCCAGCUCUCAGGGUAGGUAGGUGCUACUAGGCAAGGUCUUGGAGGGAGGGUAGAAUCUAAGGCAUAGACUCCUUCAAGGAAAGCUGUUUGUUAAUUGGUUUGAACCCUGGUCAGGCCUGCUCCUGCACAGCAGACCCUAAAGGUGGGAUUGGAAUGAGGGUGUCCAGGGAGCGCAGGACCGGAGGUAAUUAAUGCAAGCAGGCAACAAGCAGGCAACCAGCAGGCAACCAACAGGCAACCAGCAGGCAACCAGCAGGCAACCAACAGGCAACCUUAACAGCCAGACAGGAUGCCAUAAAAAGAGGGGUCAGGAGGACUAGGCCUCUCUCGAUCCGUGUGUAGGGUGUACCAGUGCACGUGGGCCUGUUAUCUCCCAGACACACUUCUGGCGUUGGCAUGGCGACAGAACGUCCUGAGGCACAAACUUUCGCAGGCUCUACUUCCCACUGUUUUGGCAGCCAAGAAUACGCCAGCCAGAGCCAGGGAUGUCCACACUGCUCUCCGGCCCUGGCACAAAGGGCACAACAGGCGCAGGCAGAGAGGUACGACAAGAAGGCUGAAGUUUGAACCCAGCAUCAGCCCAUGUAAGGGCCCUCUGAACUCAUUGGCUUCAAUAAUAGCAAAUGUGGUUAUAUGAUAUGAGAGUCUCGUUUGGCUCAGUUGGUAGAGCAUGGUACUCGCAACGCCAGGGUUGUGAGUUUGAUUCCCACGAGGGACCAGUACAAAAAUGUAAGCACUCACUUCUGGAUAAGAACGUCUGCUAAAUGACUGAACUGUAAAUGAAGACUCAUUCUACGCUCACGCGUCAUCAUACAAAUUACAUUUACAGAGGAGGACUCUUAAAAUAUAUGUUCAAAGUGAUAAAAAAACAAAUGUGAGUUGUACAAGAAAUGUUCUAGAUGAAGUGUAAGUGGCGAAUGGUUUUUAAAUGUGUGCCUGCUCUUCUCAGAGAAAACAACAACUGAUUCAAAGGGGGCUUGGCUCUUCUCCUCAGAGAAAACAACAGCUGAUUCAAAGGGGGCUUGGCUCUUCUCCUCAGAGAAAACAAAAGCUGAUUCAAAGGGGGCGUGUGGGUUUUAAAACACUUCCGCACUAUCCUCCAGGAGGAUACUCUCAUCCUCUGAGGUAGGUAAUGAAGGAGGGGAGGACACUAACGAAUUCACACUCUCCUCGACCACUUAGCGGUUUCCGG